UUGGGUUAUUUGCAUAUACACCUUACAUUAUGGAUAACUUGCAAAAGUGCCCCCAUACCAUCAAAUUAUUAACUUUGGGAAAACAAAUACUCCUAAAAUUAAGAAAUCGUCAACUUAGUGAUAAAAUUUCAAUUAUUUUGCUGGCAAACUUCUUGGAGAAUUGAAUACAACAUCUAUUACUCUUAUCCCCAAAGUGGAGAGCCCUAGUGAUUGCUUCUUUGCAUGCGGUGCUGUACAUGUCCAUAGUCUGCUUUAACUCAAGCCUCAGCCUUUUCAUUUCAGCCUCAACAUCUCGAUUAGCCUAAAACAAUAUGAAGAGAAACAAACUUUAUCCACAUUUAGUUUUAUAAGUGAAUUUAAUGGUAUUUUCUUCAAAAGGUUAAUUGCACAUAGCCCCCACCUGCGGUAUUACUGCUUUGAAAUUACUAUCUCUGUAGUUUCAUUUUGGCAGGUAAAAACACACAAAAGAGUCAAAAAAAAAUUAACUCAGGGGGUCUGCCUACUAAAACCAAACUACGUACAUGGAGUACUAGUAAGUUCAAAACAGGUUUACAGGGGUCUAUGUGCAAUUAAUCAUUCUUCAAGGU